rnacentral:rRNA from 1 species
GCGACCCCAGGUCAGGCGGGGCUACCCGCUGAGUUUAAGCAUAUCAAUAAGCGGAGGAAAAGAAAC